rnacentral:rRNA from 1 species
AUUGAACGCUGGCGGCAUGCUUUACACAUGCAAGUCGAACGGUAACAGGCCGCAAGGUGCUGACGAGUGGCGAACGGGUGAGUAAUGCAUCGGAACGUGCCCAGUCGUGGGGGAUAACGCAGCGAAAGCUGCGCUAAUACCGCAUACGAUCUAUGGAUGAAAGCGGGGGACCGUAAGGCCUCGCGCGAUUGGAGCGGCCGAUGUCAGAUUAGGUAGUUGGUGGGGUAAAGGCUCACCAAGCCAACGAUCGGUAGCUGGUCUGAGAGGACGACCAGCCACACUGGGACUGAGACACGGCCCAGACUCCUACGGGAGGCAGCAGUGGGGAAUUGUUCGCAAUGGGCGCAAGCCUGACGACGCAACGCCGCGUGGAGGAUGAAGGUCUUCGGAUUGUAAACUCCUGUUGCCCGGGACGAAACGCCUCGACCUAACACGUCGAGGUUUGACGGUACCGGGUGAGGAAGCCCCGGCUAACUCUGUGCCAGCAGCCGCGGUAAAAC